rnacentral:lncRNA from 1 species
CCUGUGGAUCAAUCUCAAAAUCUCUUCUUCGCAGAAGAACAGAGAGACAUACCUUUGCAAUCAGCUGUCCAGUAUCAGUCCUGCGUAAGCUGUACUUCCCGGUGAAGUCGCAUCCAGUGAGCUUGAAAUCGGGCGUGGUGCUCUCCCCGAGGUACACAUCCACGCAUAACUCUAGCCGGAAGCAAGGCUUCUUCGCUGUGAAGAGAAACUUGUCUUCGUCGAGAUAGGCCUUCCACUUGCUCUGGAAACUAAAUGCCUGCCAAACGGGUUACUAUUUAGAGAAAAGAGAGAUGUUUUAGUACCUCUUUGUGGAGCACGAGAAUAACCUUUCCACUGGAAUCCAUAACUCUCCGCUGGCGACCGCAUCCAAAGUUUCCAUCCACUGCAAAAACGUCGUUUUGUUUUGCAUCCCAGACGGUUUACUUCCCACAGCUGAAGACUCUCGAGCUGGAGAGAGUGAGAUCCACAGACUGGAAGUCUCAAAACUGUGCUCCGCAACAACCUUGGCAGAAUCUUGAUCGAAACCCAUAACCUUACCAAGCCUUUGCAAGAGCAAAGCUCUUCACUGACUAAUCUCCUCUAAGACGCGUUUUAACUCUUGGUGGGAACGGCUAAUCAAUGAGUGGGACACAACCAAAGGGAUAAUUUCGUGUUUUUUUUCCCGUGUCGGUAACUACAGUAUAAAUCCCGGCUAAAGCCGAAAAAUGGAGUAGAGUACACGCUGGACCUCCAGUGUACGCAAAGACGUAGGAAAUACCGCAACUGCGUAAGCACCACAUCCCCAAACAAAGCUGGAGUGGCGCGCGCGAUUGGGGCUAUUGCGAUACGCUGGGCACUACCUCAAACGCUCCAUGUCCGAGGAUGAGUGAGGAUCACCCCAGCAGGGGAUUUGAUCACCAUGGGCCACUAUAGCUUCAACAAGCAAUCGGACAAGAAUGUCAAUCCAAUGCAAGGAAACCGCUAACCAAUGCCCGCCAUAGCUGCCUGGAAGAAACUGUCUAGAAGUGAAAUUCUUCCGUUUCACGAUUUCGCCAUAUUAUGUAAUGAUGAACUUGCAUUUAAUGGACUCAACUUGGGAUGGAUCCAUUAAAUUGACGUCCCACGAUGGUUAAAAUCAUUGAAACCACAAAUAGCGAGUCCACUCCAGGCUCAAUUUCUAUGCUGUAGCUCGCAACGCAUGCCAGAUUCCUCUUGGACCUUGCCUGUGGAUCAAACUCAAAGUCUCUUUGAAGAAGAAGAAAACAUAGACAUACCUUUGCAAUCAGCUCUCCAGUAUCAGUCCUGUGUAAGCAGUAUUUCCCGGUGAAGGCGCUUCCAGUGAGCUUGAAAUCGGGCGUGGUGUUCUCGCCGAGGUACACAUCCACGCAUAACUCUAGCCGGAAGAAGAAAGGCCGCUUCGUUGUAAAGAGGAGCUUGUCUUCGUCGAGAUAGACCUUCCAC